GGCUUGGUGGUGAAAUGGUAACGCGCUCCAUGUACCUAUAUGGAACGUUCGCAUAUUGUUCGACGGAAAGUCCGGAGUUCAAUUCUCUGUCAAGCCA